GUUGAAACACAGGUUCCCGUAUGAUCACAGACCUUAAGCAACGUAGAGCCUGGUCAGUACUGAGAUGGGUGACUGUUUGGUAAUUCCAGGGGCUGUAAGC